AUUGAACGCUGGCGGCAGGCUUAACACAUGCAAGUCGAGCGGAGAUGAGGUGCUUGCACCUUAUCUUAGCGGCGGACGGGUGAGUAAUGCUUAGGAAUCUGCCUAUUAGUGGGGGACAACAUUCCGAAAGGAAUGCUAAUACCGCAUACGCCCUACGGGGGAAAGCAGGGGAUCUUCGGACCUUGCGCUAAUAGAUGAGCCUAAGUCGGAUUAGCUAGUUGGUGGGGUAAGGGCCUACCAAGGCGACGAUCUGUAGCGGGUCUGAGAGGAUGAUCCGCCACACUGGGACUGAGACACGGCCCAGACUCCUACGGGAGGCAGCAGUGGGGAAUAUUGGACAAUGGGCGGAAGCCUGAUCCAGCCAUGCCGCGUGUGUGAAGAAGGCCUUUUGGUUGUAAAGCACUUUAAGCGAGGAGGUGGCUACCUGGAUUAAUACUCUAGGAUAGUGGACGUUACUCGCAGAAUAAGCACCGGCUAACUCUGUGCCAGCAGCCGCCGUAACAC
rnacentral:rRNA from 1 species